rnacentral:rRNA from 1 species
GAGUUUGAUCCUGGCUCAGAUUGAACGCUGGCGGCAGGCCUAACACAUGCAAGUCGGGCGGUAGAGAGAAGCUUGCUUCUCUUGAGAGCGGGCGGACGGGUGAGUAAUGCCUAGGAAUCUGCCUGGUAGUGGGGGAUAACGCUCGGAAACGGACGCUAAUACCGCAUACGUCCUACGGGAGAAAGCAGGGGACCUUCGGGCCUUGCGCUAUCAGAUGAGCCUAGGUCGGAUUAGCUAGUUGGUGAGGUAAUGGCUCACCAAGGCGACGAUCCGUAACUGGUCUGAGAGGAUGAUCAGUCACACUGGAACUGAGACACGGUCCAGACUCCUACGGGAGGCAGCAGUGGGGAAUAUUGGACAAUGGGCGAAAGCCUGAUCCAGCCAUGCCGCGUGUGUGAAGAAGGUCUUCGGAUUGUAAAGCACUUUAAGUUGGGAGGAAGGGCAGUAAAUUAAUACUUUGCUGUUUUGACGUUACCGACAGAAUAAGCACCGGCUAACUCUGUGCCAGCCGCCGACCG